GGUUGUGGCUUAGUGGUAGAGUGCUAGCCUAGCUCUUGUGAGGCCCUGAGUUCGAUCCUCAGAACCA
rnacentral:tRNA from 1 species